rnacentral:rRNA from 1 species
AUGAUCUACCGCAACUGGUCCCUGCUCUCCUCCACGGUCGUCAUCUGGGGCAGCGUCGGCGCCGCCGGCCUCGCCGGGAUCUUCCUCUUCGGCGGCAAGGAGAAAUUCCAGGGCUAUCUUUCUCGCGAAGGCGAGAGGCUAAGGCAGCAGGACAGAGCCAUGAUGGGCAAGAACUAG